rnacentral:rRNA from 1 species
GACGAACGCUGGCGGCGUGCUUAACACAUGCAAGUCGAGCGGUAAGGCCCUUUCGGGGGUACGCGAGCGGCGAACGGGUGAGUAACACGUGGGUGACCUGCCCUCAGCUCUGGGAUAAGCCCGGGAAACUGGGUCUAAUACUGGAUAUUACUCUGCGGUGCAUGCCGUGGGGUGGAAAGCCUUGUGCGGCUGGGGAUGGGCCCGCGGCCUAUCAGCUUGUUGGUGGGGUGAUGGCCACCAAGGCGACGACGGGUAGCCGGCCUGAGAGGGCGACCGGCCACACUGGGACUGAGACACGGCCCAGACUCCUGCGGGAGGCAGCAGUGGGGAAUCUUGCGCAAUGGGCGAAAGCCUGACGCAGCGACGCCGCGUGAGGGAUGACGG